GAUGAACGCUGGCGGCGUGCCUAAUACAUGCAAGUCGAGCGAACAGACGAUGAGCUUUCUCCUCUGACGUUAGCGGCUGACGGGUGAGUAACACGUGUAUAACCUACCUAUAAUACUGGGAUAACUUCGGGAAACCUGAUCUAAUACCGUAUAAUAUAUUGAACCGCAUGGUUCAUUAUUUAAAGACUGUUUUUCUGUCACUUAUAGAUUGUUCCCCUCCGCAGUAUCUAGUUGGUAAGUUAACGGCUUACCAAGGCUACGAUGCGUAGCCGACCUGAGAGGGUGAUCGGACACACUGGAACUGAGACACGGUCCAGAAUCCUAAGGGAGGCAGCAGUAGGGAAUAUUCCGCAAUGGGCGAAAGCAUGACGGAGCAAGGCCGCGGGAGUGAUGAAGGUCGUCGGAUCGUAAAACUCUGUUAUUAGGGAAGAACAAAUGUGUAAGAAAAUAUGCACGUAGUGACGGUACCUAAUCAGAAAGCCACGGCUAACUACGUG
rnacentral:rRNA from 1 species